CCCUUCCGUAGGUGAACCUGCGGAGGGAUCAUU
rnacentral:rRNA from 1 species